UGGCUCUCGCAUCGAUGAAGAACGCAGCGAAAUGCGAUAAGUAAUGUGAAUUGCAGAAUUCAGUGAAUCAUCGAAUCUUUGAACGCACCUUGCACUCCUUGGUAUUCCGAGGAGUAUGCCUGUUCGAGUGUCAUGAAGUUAUCAACUCGUAUAUUUUAUUAUAUUACGCAGUUGGACUUGGGGCUUUUGUUGGUUUAUAAUCAACUGCUCUGAAAUGAAUUAGCCGUCUUGUUUACUUGAUGUGACUGCAUCAGUGUAGUAAUUUUACGCUGGCGACCUCAUCUAAUUGACAAGUGUUUGCUUCUAAUCCCCAUCUUAUUAUUCAUUUUGACCUCGAAUCAGGUAGGACUACCCGCUGA
rnacentral:misc_RNA from 1 species